rnacentral:lncRNA from 1 species
GGCACAUAUAAAUCACAAACUUGGCUUCAUGCAUUAUUGCCAGUAGCUUUAAUGUUUCGAAGAUGUCACAUUUAAUAAAGGGUGAUAAAUGUAUAUUGGAUGUAAUUCUGGCAGUUAAACUCUUCCUUGGUUAUAUCUUUUAAGAUUGUCUUACAGGAAAAAGAAAAGGAAAAUGGCCCCAGAAAAGACAAGCUACAGUAGAUAAAGUUGCUAAGGACAAGAAUGUCUGUCAUUCAUGGAAACAUCAGAGUUCAGCUGGUUCUUGAAACAGGCCAUUUGAAACCAGAGACUACCAGUACAUUUUUGGUGAUCAUUUGACGAAGCCAGUUGUAAUGUUUUAACAUGAGACAGGAAAAGUACAUGUAUAUACUCUGGUUACAGAUUUGCAGUAUCAACCAGCAUCCACAGCCAUUCUAAAUAUAGGAACAACACAAUCAAACAAGCUGGCAAGAUGUUCAAGAGUGGUGACAUGCUGCCCAAGAUUCUAGUCUGGAGAUACCAUCAGUCAUCUUAGAAUGUUUUUUUAAGAUUUAAAAAUGUGACAUUGACUUAGGUCAAGACUACAUUUAUACUGCUUUCAGCCAAAGGCUUUUCUGUGUUUGUUUUUGGGGGCAAUGACCCCAGAGUUAACAAACCGUCUUUCAACUUUCUUGUCGAGCUUAUGACCAACCUGACAACACAGAAAACAAGUUCCAAAGUAUUUACCAAACAUAACUUUCAUAUUGCAUUUUGCAAUUAUAUUUUUGAU